rnacentral:rRNA from 1 species
AGGAUGAACGCUGGCGGUCUGCUUAACACAUGCAAGUCGAACGGAGUACCUCGGUACUUAGUGGCGGACGGGUGAGUAACGCGUGAGAAUCUGCCCUUAGGUCGGGGACAACCAUUGGAAACGAUGGCUAAUACCGGAUAAGCCGAGAGGUAAAGAUUAAUUGCCUAGGGAAGAGCUCGCGUCUGAUUAGCUAGUUGGUGAGGUUAAAGGCUCGACCAAGGCAUCGAUCAGUAGCUGGUCUGAGAGGAUGAUCAGCCACACUGGGACUGAGACACGGCCCAGACUCCUACGGGAGGCAGCAGUGGGGAAUUUCGUCAAUGGGGGGCAACCCUGAACGAGCAACGCCGCGUGCAGGAGAAGGUUUUCGGAUCGUAAACUGCUUUUCUCGGGGAAGUAGAAUGGACGGUACCCGAGGAAUCAGCCCCGGCUAACUACGUGCCAGCAGCCGC